AAGGUUUUAAAGACAUUGAAGUCCCCUUAGGAUGGAUCGCCGAAAUAUAAAUUAUUGUCCUUGCAUUCCAUUAAUAUAUAACAAAAAUAGGCUUUAUUUAUUUUAAGAACUGAUCUUUGAACUACUUGCGUUUUGUUCAGUGUGGCGAAAGUGGUUACAAGAGAUCCAUAUUCUGCUUUCGAAAUUUAUGAACCUAGUGGCUCUUCAAUUUCCGGGAAGUCUCAAAGAGAUUCAUCUUCUGCUCUCGAAAUUUAUGAACCUAGUGGCUCUUCAAUUUCCAGGAAGUUUCAAAGAGAUUCAUCUUCUGCUCUUGAAAUUGAUGAACCUAGUGGCUCUUCAAUUUCUGGGAAGUCUCAGAGAGAUCCAUCUUCUGCUCUCGAAAUUGAUGAACCUAGUGGCUCUUCAAUUUCCGCGAAGUCUCAAAGAGAUCCGUCUUCUGCUCUCGAAAUUUAUGAACCUAGUGGCUCUUCAUUUUCCGAGAAGUCUCAAAGAGAUCCAUCUUUUGGUCUCAAAAUGGAUGAACCUAGUGGCUCUUCAAUUUCCGGGAAGUCUCAAAGAGAUCCAUCUUCUGCUCUCGAAAUUAAUGAACCUAGUGGCUCUUCAAUUUCCAAGAAGUCUCAAAGAGAUCCAUCUUCUGCUCUCAAAAUUUAUGAACCUAGUGGCGCUUCAAUUUCCGGGAAGUCUAAAAGAGAUCCAUCUUCUGCUCUCGAAAUUUAUGAACCUAGUGGCUUUACAGAGUUGACAACAUCCAAUGUCAAAAGAUUACUCUACAAAAUGAAAAAUAUUUUCCUACGGUGGCCGUACUUUGAUUGGAUGCAAAUGAUAUUGGUUGUGACUGUAAUAUCAGUCGAUCCUUUGUUUUUCUA
rnacentral:lncRNA from 1 species